CAGCCGCCACGGGAAUACGGAGGGUGCAAGCGUUAAUCGGAACUACUGGGCGUAAAGCGCACGCAGGCGGUCUGUCAAGUCAGAUGUGAAAUCCCCGGGCUCAACCUGGGAACUGCAUUUGUGACUGGCAGGCUAGAGUAUGGCAGAGGGGGGUGGAACUCCGCGUGUAGCAGUGAAAUGCGUAGAUAUGCGGAGGAACGCCGAUGGCGAAGGCAGCCCCCUGGGCCAAUACUGACGCUCAUGCACGAAAGCGUGGGGAGCAAACAGGAUUAGAUACCCCUGUAGUCCCUGUCUCUAUACC
rnacentral:rRNA from 1 species